GAUGAAGAACGUAGCGAAAUGCGAUACGUAAUGUGAAUUGCAGAAUUCAGUGAAUCAUCGAAUCUUUGAACGCAUAUUGCGCUCUCUGGUAUUCCGGAGAGCAUGCUUGUGAGUAUCAGUAAACACCUCAACUUCCAUAUCUUUUUUGAAAUGGGAGUUGGACUUGAGUGAUCCCAACGCUUUUCCUCACCGAAAAGUGGCGGGUUACUUGAAAUGCAGGUGCAGCUGGACUUUUCUCUGAGCUAUAAGCAUAUCUAUUUAGUCUGCCUAAAAAACAGAUUAUUACCUUUGCUGCAGCUAACAUAAAGGAGAUUAGUUCUUGUGCUGACUGAUGCAGGAUUCACAAAGACGGCUUCGGCCGACUUUGUAAACUCGAUCUCAAAUCAAGUAGGACUACCCGCUGAACUUAAGCAUAUCAAUAAGCGGAGGA
rnacentral:misc_RNA from 1 species